CUCGUGUGUUCAUGCCAUGUAAACAUUCAUCGUGCGUGGUGGCCACUUUCUGCUUUUCCUAUAUUAAGAGCAUCAUGAUGUGUCACAUCACAUUUGGGCGCAGCGAGCGUCCGACUCCACCCGGCACCAGGUCUCCUGCCGCCCUUUGACAUCCUGGAGGUUCUCCGCCAUGUUGCGCUUGUUUGUUUGAGAAAGCUGCAUAGCCCAGAUGGAGAUCCUGCUGUUGCCAUGGCGCCGAGAAACAUGAGGAGCCACAUUCUCAAGGUCUCGUGUUUGGAACGAGUGACCACUCUGCUGCUGACAGAAAGACCGCUGUGGAGGCUUUGCAGGGGCGGCUAUCUCAAAGGAUUCCCCACACACGAGCCAGUCAGGAGGCUUUUCUCGGCCCAAAUGAAGAUUAGGAUUAGCGCAUUACACCUGAUGAUGGCGGCAUAUGGACCAGCUACUGUUCUUGAUUGACGUCUCUGUCCAAUAGCACUCCGGGCCACUGGCUGGCCACUUGAUUAGGUACACAAUCGGGCUGCGUGAUAGUGAGCGUGCCUUGAGAUACGACCGAACUGAUUUGAGUGUUUCGAGGUAAAAGUUGUCGGGCGGAUUUUUUUAAACUGACUUUUUGGAGAAACACUUUUUUUUUUAACUGCGUGUUUCAGUGUCACUUGUACUUGCUGUCAAACUGAACAGAAAAAAAAAGCAUUACUACUUCAUAAGUCUGAUUGUUUUUUUUGUUAAUGCUUAAUGGGCAAAUGUCAUGCUGCAUCAACACACAAGGAUAGCUCAUAUCUGCAUGUAUUCUUUAUCCUCUGUUCAAAUCCACUCAUUCUCCCGGAGUUUCCUGAGUCAUUUCCAGUAGUUGUGGAAGUCUUCUUUAUUUGUGUCUGCAUAUCUGUGUUAUACUGCCUCCUUAAUGAGCCGCAAUGAAUUGACCAUGA